rnacentral:rRNA from 1 species
ACUCCUACGGGAGGCAGCAGUGGGGAAUAUUGGACAAUGGGGGCAACCCUGAUCCAGCCAUGCCGCGUGUGUGAAGAAGGCUUUCGGGUUGUAAAGCACUUUCAGCNAGGAGGAAGGCCUUANAGUUAAUACCUUUGAGGAUUGACGUUACCGCAGAAGAAGCACCGGCUAACUCC